ACGAACGCUGGCGGCGUGCUUCACACAUGCAAGUCGAACGGAAAGGCCCUGCUUUUGUGGGGUGCUCGAGUGGCGAACGGGUGAGUAACACGUGAGUAACCUGCCCUUGACUUUGGGAUAACUUCAGGAAACUGGGGCUAAUACCGGAUAGGAGCUCCUGCUGCAUGGUGGGGGUUGGAAAGUUUCGGCGGUUGGGGAUGGACUCGCGGCUUAUCAGCUUGUUGGUGGGGUAGUGGCUUACCAAGGCUUUGACGGGUAGCCGGCCUGAGAGGGUGACCGGCCACAUUGGGACUGAGAUACGGCCCAGACUCCUACGGGAGGCAGCAGUGGGGAAUAUUGCACAAUGGGCGGAAGCCUGAUGCAGCAACGCCGCGUGCGGGAUGACGGCCUUCGGGUUGUAAACCGAUUUCGCCUGUGACGAAGCGUGAGUGACGGGAAUGGGUAAAGAAGCACCGGCAAACUACGU
rnacentral:rRNA from 1 species